rnacentral:rRNA from 1 species
GACGAACGCUGGCGGCGUGCUUAACACAUGCAAGUCGAACGAAGUGGCGAACGGGUGAGUAACGCGUAAUCAACCUGCCCUUCAGAGGGGGACAACAGUUGGAAACGACUGCUAAUACCGCAUACUCAAGCAGGGGCUUGCGUCGGAUUAGCUAGUUGGAGGGGUAAAGGCCCACCAAGGCGAUGAACCGUAGCCGGUCUGGGAGGAUGAACGGCCCAAUUGGGACUCGGACACGGCCCAGACUCCUACGGGAGGCCACAGUGGGGAAUCUGCCGCAAUGGACGAAAGGCUGACGGAGCAACGCCGCGUGAGUGAUGACGGCCUUCGGGUUGGAAAGCUCUGUUAAUCGGGACGCGGUACCGGAAUAGAAAGCCACGGCUAACUACGUGCCAGCAGCCGCGGUAAUUC